AUGUGUUGGAAUUCCAUGUGGGAAUGUGUUGCAAUUCCAUGUGGGAACGCCGGGAUCCUGUGCGGGAAUGUUGGGAUCAGUGUGGGAAUUCUGGGAUCCAACAUGAGAAUUCUGGGAUCCCACAUGGGAAUGCCCAAAUUCCAUGUGGGAAUGCCGAAAUUCCAUGUGGGAAUGCCCAAAUUCCAUGUGGGAAUGCCGAAAUUCCGUGCGGGAGCGGCCGUGUGCUCCCCACCUCCAGAUCUCCAUAAAACAUCGGAUCCGCCGCUUCCCGACUUUUCCGUCAUCCCGGAGGGGUUUGGGAAUCAACGGAGGGAUCCGACCCCGGGAACGGGGAUUGGGGCGGGAAUUGGGAGUUGGGAAUGGGAAUUGGGAUCCGGAGUUGGGAAUUGGGAUCUGGGAAUGGGAAUUGGGAAUUGGGAAUGGGAAUUGGGAUCUGGGAACGGGAAUUGGGAUCCAGAGUUGGGAAUUGGGAUCCGGGAACGGGAAUUGGGAUCUGGGAAAGGGAAUUGGGAUCCGGAGUUGGGAAUUGGGAUCCGGAGUUGGGAAUUGGGAUCCAGAGUUGGGAAUUGGGAUCCGGAGUCGGGAAUUGGGAUCUGGGAAUGGGAAUUGGGAAUGGGAAUGGGAAUUGGGAUCCGGAGUUGGGAAUUGGGAUCCAGAGUUGGGAAUUGGGAUCCAGAGUUGGGAAUUGGGAAUGGGAAUGGGAAUUGGGAUCUGGGAACAGGAAUUGGGAAUUGGGAACAGGAAUUGGGAUCUGGGAAUGGGAAUUGGGAUCUGGGAACGGGAAUUGGGAUCCGGAGUUGGGAAUUGGGAUCCGGAGUUGGGAAUUGGGAUCCGGCCCCGGGAAUUGGGAUCCGGAGUCGGGAAUUGGGGAAUGGGGAUGGGAAUUGGGAUCCAGAGUUGGGAAUUGGGAUCCGGGAAAGGGAAUUGGGAUCCGGAGUUGGGAAUUGGGAUCCGGGAAUGGAAAUUGGGAUCCGGAGUUGGGAAUUGGGAUCCAGAGUUGGGAAUUGGGGUCUGGGAAUGGGAAUUGGGAUCUGGGAAUGGGAAUUGGGAUCCGGAGUUGGGAAUUGGGAUCCGGGAAUGGAAAUUGGGAUCCGGAGUUGGGAAUUGGGAUCCAGAGUUGGGAAUUGGGGUCUGGGAAUGGGAAUUGGGAUCUGGGAAUGGGAAUUGGGAUCCGGAGUUGGGAAUUGGGAUCUGGGAAUGGGAAUUGGGAUCCGGAGUUGGGAAUUGGGAAUGGGAAUUGGGAGCUGGGAAUGGG
rnacentral:lncRNA from 1 species